GGCCAGACUCCUACGGGAGGCAGCAGUGGGGAAUAUUGCACAAUGGGCGAAGGCCUGAUGCAGCAACGCCGCGUGAAGGAAGAAGGCCUUCGGGUCGUAAACUUCUGUCCUUGGGGAAGAAGAACUGACGGUACCCAAGGAGGAAGCCCCGGCUAACUACGUGCCAGCAGCCGCGGUAAUACGUAGGUGGCAAGCGUUGUCCGGAUUUACUGGGUGUAAAGGGCGUGUAGCCGGGCUGACAAGUCAGAUGUGAAAUUCCGGGGCUCAACCCCGGACCUGCAUUUGAAACUGUUGGUCUUGAGUAUCGGAGAGGCAGGCGGAAUUCCUAGUGUAGCGGUGAAAUGCGUAGAUAUUAGGAGGAACACCAGUGGCGAAGGCGGCCUGCUGGACGACAACUGACGGUGAGGCGCGAAAGCGUGGGGAGCAAACAGGAUUAGAUACCCCGGUA
rnacentral:rRNA from 1 species